AUCUAGCUGACGAGCCUCAAAUAGGACAAAACCCGAGUCCUAGAU
rfam:Schistosoma mattheei strain Denwood, Zambia genome assembly, scaffold: SMTD_scaffold0016835